GCGUUCCAUUGUUAUCCACAUGUCAUAAGAUUGAGAGUGUGGAGACCAUUGCACCUAUUGCCAAGGAGGUUAUAGAAUCUACUCUUCAAGAUAUUUCUUAGCAAUAAGUCUUUCCUUGGAAAGAUUUGGUUGAAAUACCAGCUAAAGCCUGGAGAUGCUCGAGACUUCAAGAAAAAGACGAAGUCAACAUGAUCACAUUCUUUAUAUUUUCAUGAUGAUCAUGACAGAUAUGAAGGCUUUCUACUAGCAAAAGUGAAGAUAUUUUGUUUGCUUAUUUUGCUUUUAAUAGGGUUAUAUGGCCUCGUGUAAUUACUGAACCCUGCUGUUCAUAAUUUCAUCAAUAAACAAUAUUAAAUAUUUGCA
rnacentral:lncRNA from 1 species